UACGUAGGGUGCAAGCGUUGUCCGGAAUUAUUGGGCGUAAAGAGCUCGUAGGCGGUCUGUCGCGUCGGCUGUGAAAUCCCGAGGCUCAACCUCGGGCCUGCAGUGGGUACGGGCAGACUAGAGUGCGGUAGGGGAGAAUGGAAUUCCUGGUGUAGCGGUGGAAUGCGCAGAUAUCAGGAGGAACACCGAUGGCGAAGGCAGUUCUCUGGGCCGUAACUGACGCUGAGGAGCGAAAGCGUGGGGAGCGAACAGG
rnacentral:rRNA from 1 species